AUUUUAUUAAUAAUUUAAAUAAUUUUUUUAAUUAUAAUUUUUUUUAUUUCUGUAAAAUAACGAAACGAAGUAAUUUCGUAGCUAUUUUGCGACUUCUUUACGUGGAAGCUUAACGAGGUUUUUACGAGGAAAUGUUUACAAGGAAAUGACGUGGAAAAUUCACGUGGUCUUUACGAGGAAAGCUAUCAAGAUAUUUACGUUUACUUUACGAGUAUUUACUUUCGAGUUAUUUACGUGGCUUUAACGAGGAAUGGCUUUCGAGGUAUUUACGAGGAAAUUUAGCGACGUCCUUACGUGGAAGCUUUACGUGGUCUUUACGACGAAAUAUUCUUCUUCGCUUUUACGACGAAAUUAUUUCCUCGCUACGCUACGACGAAUUAGCGAGGAUAUAUGCGUUACGACAAACGUAUAACGACGAAACGGGUUUCCUCGCUAAUUCCUCGUAACACUGCUUUUACGACGAAAUCACGAGGAAAACUGCCCUCGUAAAACUUGUGUUUUCUUGUAGUGUCCCCACAUAUUGUGGAGAACCAUAAUGCAUAUGGCAUAAACAAGUGUUACGUUGAUGGGGCAUGGAUGAAACAAGAUUCUUACACGGGGCACACCUUGAUUAUUGUCCCACACAAGAACAUAUAUAGGAUUUCAUGACAAAAACUGUUAAUUUGGAGGUAUUUUAGAACCUGAGAUUGCGUAUGAGAGUACUUUUGAAGGAUGAGUAAAUUGGAAAGAGUGAUUCCAGUUUAGGGAAGGAAUUGAAGAAUAAUGGUUAAGUGUAGUUGUGUCCAAACAAAAGUACUUAGUCUUAAUUAGUUUGUUUUAGUCGUCCUUAAUUGUAGGAGUUUGAUUUGGUAGUAGAUGUUAAGAUAUUUGAGGAGUCUGCUUAGGAGUUCUAGCUAUUUUACAAGGCCUAUUUAAGAAAGCAUUUGAUAUUAAAAAUGCAGACAUUUAGAUAUGUUGUUCUCUUGUCCCUAAAGCUUGAGUUUCAACAACACUAUUUAUAACUGAUAAUAUGGUCUUUUACUUUAUUUUAUCUGUGAGGGCUUGGUUUUGUAAGUAAUUUAUGACAAAGUAACUGGAAGGAGCAGGCUUUGAGGUUUGCGACAAUGUCCAUUGUAGCUGGAACUGAGGCAGCUAUCAUUAACAUUCCAGGCAUUUGAAGGCUGACACUUGAGGGUUAUAGCUUGCGGGUUAAUGCUGGUCCUGCUCCACCUAAGAGAGAGGAAUUGCCGUGUCUAUGGUCGUGUGAUUAUAGUGGGUAAUGAAAGAAAACAAAUGAGAAGUGCAAUUGCAUGGAAGUAAUUUCUCAACUAAACUUGCUGAACAUAAUUUAUUUCUGUGUUUCCUUCAUCAACUAGAAUAGAAAUUCUCAAUAUUGUGUAACUUAAUGAGAUCAGUCUUCAUGAACGUUUGAAUUCCACUGAAAUUAGUGACUGAUUUAGUUUCUUAUUUGAUGUCUGUUUUUCCAGGACAAAAAUCGCAGGUUUUACAUAUCAUAAUAGGCAAAUAUGUUCUCCAAAAGAUUAUCUUGAAGCUUGAAAUGAUAGUUUGUUAUGAUACUUUUCAGUUUGAACUUUUGCUAUGUAUGUGUUUUCACUUUUCAGGUACAAUUUUUUACAACAAGAUUGUUCACUUUUCUAAUGCUUAAGAAUUUAUAUUAUGCUUAAAUAUUUGGAAUUUAUUGUUUAUAUGUUUUAACUGAAAACUAUAUAUUGUCAAGAAAGAUGAUAUAUUAGAAUAAUUGUUGCAACAUCUGAAAUAAUAUAUAGCCAAAAUAGUAUUUAGCUAAUUUGUGGCCAUAUUUGCUACAAAUAUUCCAGAAUAAUUACUCAUUAAUUUAUGUAGCCACCUAGAAAAGAAAAAUCGGUAGCUAAAAUUAUCGCUAAUGAGAAACAUAACAAGCUCCAGCUAUAUCGUCGCUCGUAGCUAUGGAACUUGAACUUGAUCUUGCUAAUUCAUUGCUAUUUGGCAACAGAUUGGCUAUAUGGUCAUAAAUAGCGGUGGAGGUAAGGCCAGCAAAUUUAUUUGUGGGUUAUCCAUUUUCCGACUAGUUUUAGUGACAAAUUGUGUUUGACAGCUACAAAAUAAAUCAUUAACUAUUUCAAUAGAUUCCUUUAGUUUUCUGAACAGAUUUCAAUUUUCAGUUUUUGAAUCUUUAUAGUUGUACAUAUAUUCUUUUUGUGAUGUUAAUAAAUUUAACAUUUCAUAAAAAAAAAAAAACUUUUAGUGAAGGGAUAGUUUACAUGUGUUAUAGGUACCUAAGUUGGAAAUGUUAAAAAAAAAGGUAUCUAAGUUGGCUAGGGUUAAGUUUGGGCCAAAAUAUCCCCAAAAGUGUCUUUACCCCGAUCCGGUAUCUUGGUAGACCGAGGCAUGCUGCUUCUUUACCAAGGUGAUCUUCUCCUUGGGCUAAUAAUAAUGCAUGCUCCGGGUGAGGUGCAUUUGGUUGAAAUGAAUGCCUUAUUCCUGCACAUUUUUCUUUUUAACCACAAACUCAAAUGACUUGAAAUCACUUGCAUCUAACAUAUGAUCAACAUGCCUAAUCACCACCAAAAAAUAUCCAAAUGUGGGUCCUGUUGGGUAUAAACUAAACCAUGAGAAUCCUAUUGGUUAAAAGUAAUAUGCCAGACGCUAUCCUACUGGCUAGAAGGAAUUCGUAAUUCCUAUUGGACGGAAGGAAACUCAUGCCUAAGGAUAAAAGAAGUUCAUGUAGAUAAAUGGAAAUCUUAUAAUAUCUAAAGAUAUAUAUGAAUCUUUCUUCCAAGGGGUACACAUGAUUAUAUACUAUAAAUACAAGCUAGAAAACCUAAGAAGUGAGGUUAGCACAUUUAACCUAUUUUUACAAAAAAGCAAGCGGCUAAAACAAGUGUUCUUACUCUUAUGUGUUGUACAUUUUCUAUUUCAUCAAUAAAAAUUACUUUGAUCUUCAUCUCUUGUCUUUCGUAGUAUCACCAAGAACUGACUUUAUUUGACCCUACUAGUUUGUCGGUAAAGGAAGGAGAAUAGCCGAAACUAAUGAUGAUGAGUGUAAUCAAAGAUGAUCAAAAUGUGGCCAUCACGACACACACCGACUUGAAAUAACAUUUUGAGCCCUUGAAAGCAAGCCUUAGAAAUGUUCUCAGCUAUAGAAAUAUGAAAAUGCCACCACUUGCAACCAAGGGAUCAUCACGAAGGUGAAAGGUCCAAACCCUGGAGGAGAAAAUGGAGAGAUAUUCCAGAAGGAUAGAAGAAAGCACACAAAGUCUAGCCCAACUCGAGCCAGAUAACGUGGCUCCUCAAGGAGAGAACUCUGCCUUAGAAGAAGCCCGUAACGGCUCAGAGGUUGAACUCGAGUUUGACCCAUGCAAACACUAAUACUCUUAUAAAUGGCCCAGGGAACGUCCUCCACUAGACUCCAAUGGGAAAAUAGAACAAGCCGUAGAUGGACAAACUCUGGAUGCUAAUCGUGCAACCCUACAUAUUUUUGAAGAGGACAAAGAAACGGCCAUAGAAACACUUGAGGCAACAAUGGCUCAUAAAUCAAACUGAUAUUUCCAACAUGUUGCCCUUUGGGUUUGGAAACGACCGCCCAUAUGUGAUUCUUAGGUAGAAAGUUCAUUUCUUCACCCAUUCCUAUUUUCAGUUAUACCCAAUUGACAUCCCUCAAGCAUUUUUAUAAUUUGCAAGCUCGAUAGAAUCUACAUCAACUGUGGUAAUGAGAGCUUUAAAAUCGAAGUAGCCCUCUCAACAUAAGUAUCUUCACUUAAGUAUCUUUAUAUCAAACCUUCUUGGUGCUCUUACAUCUUAUCAAUGCUCUGUAUCGAGCAAAGCGAUAGCUUUCUUCUAUAUUAAAUCGAUUAACUCUUGGUGUAUCUGUUGCAUCAUCUUUAAUGCUAUGUCCCUCUUCUUCUUAUGAAUGAUGGUUGCCUUGAUCAACUGUGUGAUCAGAGAGGGUUAGUUUUUCUUCCGAGUGGUCUACACCUAAAGUCAUAUCAGUUUCGCCCAAAUAUCAAUGCCAAUUAUCAAAUUCUCUGAUUCUUCCUCAACAUACGCUUAUUUUCCUCUAUGUAGCAUUCCAGAUCAUUAUGAGGCUGCUUUAAGAGUUGUUAUAUACUUGGAAAAUAGUCAAGUACAAGAUAUUCUAAAAUGUACUAUCAAUCCACUUACUCUUAGUGUGUGGUGUGAUUCUUAUUGGGGUGCAUGCCCUAUGACCCGACGGUCAUUCAGUUGUUGGUUGACGGAGCGGAAAUAACUGUUAGUCAUUAAUGCGAAAGUAACGUUGAAAUC